rnacentral:rRNA from 1 species
UACAGAGGGGGGCAAGCGUUGUUCGGAAUUACUGGGCGUAAAGGGCUCGUAGGUGGCCAACUAAGUCAGACGUGAAAUCCCUCGGCUUAACCGGGGGAACUGCGUCUGAUACUGGAUGGCUUGAGUUUGGGAGAGGGAUGCGGAAUUCCAGGUGUAGCGGUGAAAUGCGUAGAUAUCUGGAGGAACACCGGUGGCGAAGGCGGCAUCCUGGACCAACACUGACGCUGAGGAGCGAAAGCCAGGGGAGCAAAGCGGG